CAGGAGGGCAAGUGGCACCCUUCUGUGGAAGUAAAUUUGCCUUGCUGAGAAAUUCUUUGUUUGAGUGCUCAUUUUCCUUGCGACUCCAAGCUCUUAUUUCCAACAGGGAAAUCUUUGACCUGUUUAUGUAACAAAGGAUGAGAUAGAAAGACAGAAAUGCUCAAGGAUGGAAAGAAAAGUGAGUGAGCAAGAGAGAUUAAGAGACAGAGAGUCAGAGUGUAACUUGGAAAAGUGGUGAAGAAAAUCUCAGGAAAAAAGGAGCACUCCACGACUGCUGAGGGUUCAAGAAGAGGACAGAGAAUUGAUGCUGUAUGUGCCUGAACAAGACAAUUGACAACCUUGUUGAGAGCAGUUUCAGUGGAAUAGUCAGGGAGAGAAAACCUGGAUUGGAGCAUGCUAAGGAAUGGAAGUAGAGAUGUGAGUAUCUACAAAUCUUCCAAGGAAGACUUUCUAACUGUUUUAAGGAAAGCACUCAGGGGUGCCCAGCAGGACAGCCUCCAGCUCUUCCAAUCAGAGCUGUAACACCAUUUCCUGAAACACCGUUUUCAACUAAGCUUUGGAGUGACAAAAAUACCUGUUAUCACGGACUAAUGCCUCCAGGAAAGAAAUCCUCGUGAUAUGCAUCUGUCCCCAAUAUGGCCACAGUAAAUCUGAGAGGAAGAAGGCACAGACGGUGUCUGGCUCUGUCGCCCAGGCUGGAGUGCAGUGGCGCGAUCUCGGCUCACUGCAAGCUCCGCCUCCCGGGUUCACGCCAUUCUCCUGCCUCAGCCUCCCGAGUAGCUGGGACUACAGGCGCCCGCCACUACGCCCGGCUAAUUUUUUGUAU
ensembl:lncRNA novel transcript